ACGCCCACCUGAUGGAGCACACCGCGUGAGUGAGAAGGGUUUCGGCUCGUAAAGCUCUGUUGUUGGAGAAGAACGUGCGUGAGAGUAACUGUUCACGCAGUGACGGUAUCCAACCAGAAAGUCACGGCUAACUACGUGCCAGCAGCCGCGGUAAUACGUAGGUGGCAAGCGUUAUCCGGAUUUAUUGGGCGUAAAGCGAGCGCAGGCGGUUGCUUAGGUCUGAUGUGAAAGCCUUCGGCUUAACCGAAGAAGUGCAUCGGAAACCGGGCGACUUGAGUGCAGAAGAGGACAGUGGAACUCCAUGUGUAGGGGGUGAAAUA
rnacentral:rRNA from 1 species